rnacentral:rRNA from 1 species
UACAGAGGGUGCGAGCGUUGAUCGGAAUUACUGGGCGUAAAGCGCACGUAGUCGGCUUUGCAAGUCGGGUGUGAAAUCCCCGGGCUCAACCUGGGAACUGCAUCCGAGACUGCAUUGCUAGAGUAUGGGAGAGGGAGGCGGAAUUUCUGGUGUAGCAGUGAAAUGCGUAGAUAUCAGAAGGAACAUCAGUGGCGAAGGCGGCUUCCUGGACCAAUACUGACGAUCAGGUGCGAAAGCGUGGGGAGCAAACAGG